CUGGAUCCAGAUCUGAAGAAAAUAAAUGAAAAACACGAAACAUACUUUGCAAAGGGGGAACAAGAACAAUAAAAUCCCUAAAUCAUAUAAAAAAAAACCCAGAUCUAUAGAGAACAAUAAGAACCCUAAUCAUACAAAACCCAUAAUCUUAAUUUACAACCCUAAAUCGAAAACAUGAGGACAAUAAAAACCCUAAAUCGUGAGGCACCGCAGAUCUGUUUCCAUUUUUGUCCCCUUCAACGUCGCCAUAUCAGGUUGUGAGGCACCGCAAAUCUGUUUCUUCUUCAGGUUUCCGGAUCUAAUCUUAGAGUUCACUAUCGGAUUUGAUGUU
rnacentral:lncRNA from 1 species